rnacentral:rRNA from 1 species
AGGGGUAAUACCGCAUGACACCCUUCCAUCACAAGAUGGAGGGAUUAAAGACGCCCUCUGAUUGCACGGUGUCAUCUGAAGAUGGGCCCGCGCACUAUUAGCUCGUUGGUAGGGUAAUGGCCUAGCAAUGACGACGAUGGUUAGCCGGCCUGAGAGGGUGAUCGGGCACAUUGGGACUGAGAUACGGCCCAGACUCCUACGGGAGGCAGCAGCUAAGAAUAUUCCGCAAUGGGCGAAAGCCUGACGGAGCGACGCCGCGUGGAGGAUGAAGGCUUUCGGGUUGUAAACUCCUAUUCUCACGGAAGAAUAAGGCCUGGAGUAACUGUCACCGUCGAUGACGGUACCUGAGGAAUAAGCCCCGGCUAAUUACGUGCCAGCAGCCGCGGUACUACGUAUGGGGCGAGCGUUGUGCGGAAUCACUGGGCGUACAGGGCGUGUAGGCGGUGUACUUAGUCGGAUGUGAAAUCUCCAGGCUCAACCUGGAAACUGCAUUCGAAACUGCUACACUAGAUUACCGGAGAGGGAGACGGAAUUCCUGAUGUAGGGGUGAAAUCUGUAGAUAUCAGGAAGAACACCGGUGGCGAAGGCGGUCUCCUGGCCGGAUACUGACGCUGAGGCGCGAAAGCUAGGGGAGCAAACAGGAUUAGAUACCCUGGUAGUCCUAUCUGUAAACGUUGUGCACUAGGUGUACGUGGUUUUAAUCCAGUUGUGCCGCAGCUAACGCAUUAAGUGCACCGCCUGGGGAGUAUGCUCGCAAGGGUGAAACUCA